rnacentral:lncRNA from 1 species
UCCUCCGCCCUUCUCUCCAGCGGCUCAACAGUAUGAAUGGGGGAGGGCCACAUUCCUCAGCUCAUCCCUUUCUCCAAACUGUUACUACGAGGGGUGAGUUAAUUUCUUUUUGAUAUCUUUUCCUAUAGCACCUAUUUCUCAAAUAAAGGCUCUGUCAUUGCCUUCGUUAGUUCUACAGGAAUUAAGUGACCGAAUAAAGAAAAAAUAUUUUGGCUUACUCUGGGAAGACUGAAGAGACUGGAGACCAGGCUCUUGUUUAAUGCAGUCCUUUGAGGCAUUUGCUGAUCAACUGAGCGUUUGUCUGGGCUGAGAUCUGAGACAACCAGCAAGGCUUCACCAAAGGAAGUUUUCCAGGAUGCUUUCUAUCCUUACACUAGCGUAAAGUACAUUGAGCCCUUCAAAGAAUAUGCACCAAAGCUUUGCACUGGACUUCAUUAACGUUUCCUGUAUUCCAGUACAGAAAUGGACUAAGAAACGUGGAUCACUGUCGGCAAUGAAGACAAGCUUGAAUUAGAUUUAGUAAGUGUCGGUAAAUUUUACAAAAAUAUCCUAGAUCAGCUAGUGUCCUUCCAGAAAACUGUUUAGUGUGUGUCUCAGUGUUGAAGAUACACACCUUUGAUUUUAAAAGCAUAGAAUUUACCAUUUCUGGUUUUGCUCACAAAAAUGAUUAUAAAUCCAUUAAUUUUUCGAAAUCCUUUCAGUUCUAGAGUUUCUUCAGCUUUCACUGAAAAAUGAUGACUUUAUAAACAGUCCAC